rnacentral:lncRNA from 10 species
GGCAUAAUACCCAAGGUUCUGGGGUAAUACCCAAGGUUCAUUGCCUCAUGCCAAGGAAAUCAAGAACAUAGAUACACACGGAGUGGGGUUAAGAGUGGAGCUUUAAUAGGUGAAAGAAAGAGAAAAAUGAAUAGCUGUCUCCUAUAGAGAGAGAGGGGUGCCCCAGUGGGUCUUCCAGCCUGCGGCAGAAUGGACAGGGUUUUAUAGACAGGCUUGAGGAGGUGGUGUCUAAUUUACACAGGGCCCAAAGAUUGGUUGGACCAGGCAUAAUGUUUACAUAGCAUGCAAAGAAGCUGCCCACCCUACCCUCACCUUUUAUUAUGCAAAUUGGUCUCUACUCGGGGGACACUAUGUUGCCUGCUCCUUACUGUGCACAUGGUUGACAAGGAAAGGGAAGAUGGAGCCGCCAUGUUGGAUCUGCCUGGCCCCAGGUAGCCUUUUC